UACAGAGGUCCCAAGCGUUGUUCGGAUUUACUGGGCGUAAAGGGCGCGUAGGCGGCCUGCUAAGUCGGACGUGAAAUCCCUCGGCUCAACCGGGGAACUGCGUCCGAUACUGGUGGGCUCGAAUCCGGGAGAGGGAUGUGGAAUUCCAGGUGUAGCGGUGAAAUGCGUAGAGAUCCGGAGGAACACCAGUGGCGAAGGCGACACGCUGGGCCGUACCUGACACUGAUGCGCGACAGCAUGGGGAGCAAACAGG
rnacentral:rRNA from 1 species